AGUGAACGCUGGCGGCGUGCCUAAUACAUGCAAGUCGAACGAAGUGGCGCACGGGUGAGUAAUAUAUAGUUAAUCUGCCCUACACCGAGGAACAACAGUUGGAAACGGCUGCUAAUACCCCAUAGUGUAGGAUGAGACUAUAUCGUAUCAGCUAGUUGGUAAGGUAAUGGCUUACCAAGGCUAUGACGCGUAACUGGUCUGGGAGGAUGAUCAGUGACAUUUGAACUGAGACACGGUCCAAACUCCUACGGGAGGCAGCAGUAAGGAAGAGUGCGUAAUGGGGGAAACCCUGACGAAGCAACGGCGCGUGGAGGAUGACAAGUGUCGGAGCGUAAACUCCUUUUAUCAGGAAAGCGGUACCUGAUGAAUAAGCACCGGCUAACUCCGUGCCAGCAGCCGCGGUAAUAC
rnacentral:rRNA from 1 species